rnacentral:autocatalytically_spliced_intron from 1 species
CGUAGCCGUAUGCGGGAAAACCGCUUGUACGGUUGCAAAGAGGGCUAGGACUGGCGACAGUUCCUUUCUACUCUAAG